rfam:Methyloceanibacter marginalis strain R-67177 contig_333, whole genome shotgun sequence.
CCUGCGGUACCGGGCCCCUCUGGCAAGCGAGGCUGGCGCGCUUGUGAUGUCGGACCGCCCUG